GGAGCAGUGCGAGGCCGAAUGGUUACGCUGUCCGCUUUGUAAGCGGAUGAUUAUGGGUUCGAUUCCCAUCUGCUCCA
rnacentral:tRNA from 1 species